CAGUCGAAGGCAGCAUGAUCUAGCUUGCUAGAUUGAUGGCGAGUGGCGAACGGGUGAGUAAUACAUCGGAACGUGCCCUGUAGUGGGGGAUAACUAGUCGAAAGAUUAGCUAAUACCGCAUACGACCUGAGGGUGAAAGUGGGGGACCGCAAGGCCUCAUGCUAUAGGAGCGGCCGAUGUCUGAUUAGCUAGUUGGUGAGGUAAAGGCUCACCAAGGCGACGAUCAGUAGCUGGUCUGAGAGGACGAUCAGCCACACUGGGACUGAGACACGGCCCAGACUCCUACGGGAGGCAGCAGUGGGGAAUUUUGGACAAUGGGGGCAACCCUGAUCCAGCAAUGCCGCGUGUGUGAAGAAGGCCUUCGGGUUGUAAAGCACUUUUGUCCGGAAAGAAAUCGCACUUACUAAUAUUAGGUGUGGAUGACGGUACCGGAAGAAUAAGGACCGGCUAACUACGUGCCAGCAGCCGCGGUAAUACGUAGGGUCCAAGCGUUAAUCGGAAUUACUGGGCGUAAAGCGUGCGCAGGCGGUUGUGCAAGACCGAUGUGAAAUCCCCGGGCUUAACCUGGGAAUUGCAUUGGUGACUGCACGGCUAGAGUGUGUCAGAGGGGGGUAGAAUUCCACGUGUAGCAGUGAAAUGCGUAGAGAUGUGGAGGAAUACCGAUGGCGAAGGCAGCCCCCUGGGAUAACACUGACGCUCAUGCACGAAAGCGUGGGGAGCAAACAGGAUUAGAUACCCUGGUAGUCCACGCCCUAAACGAUGUCAACUAGUUGUUGGGGAUUCAUUUCCUUAGUAACGUAGCUAACGCGUGAAGUUGACCGCCUGGGGAGUACGGUCGCAAGAUUAAAACUCAAAGGAAUUGACGGGGACCCGCACAAGCGGUGGAUGAUGUGGAUUAANUUCGAUGCANCGCGAAAAANCNUACCUACCCUUGACAUGCCACUAACGAAGCAGAGAUGCAUUAGGUGCUCGAAAGAGAAAGUGGACACAGGUGCUGCAUGGCUGUCGUCAGCUCGUGUCGUGAGAUGUUGGGUUAAGUCCCGCAACGAGCGCAACCCUUGUCUCUAGUUGCUACGAAAGGGCACUCUAGAGAGACUGCCGGUGACAAACCGGAGGAAGGUGGGGAUGACGUCAAGUCUUCAUGGCCCUUAUGGGUAGGGCUUCACACGUCAUACAAUGGUGCAUACAGAGGGUUGCCAAGCCGCGAGGUGGAGCUAAUCCCAUAAAGCCAGUCGUAGUCCGGAUCGCAGUCUGCAACUCGACUGCGUGAAGUCGGAAUCGCUA
rnacentral:rRNA from 1 species